rnacentral:rRNA from 1 species
GACGGGGGAUGCGAGCGUUAUCCGGAAUGAUUGGGCGUAAAGGGUCCGCAGGUGGCCCGGUCAGUCCGCUGUCAAAGCCUGGGGCUCAACCCUGGAGAGGCGGCGGAGACCACCGGGCUUGAGUCCGGUAGGGGCAGAGGGAAUUCCCGGUGGAGCGGUGAAAUGCGUAGAGAUCGGGAGGAACACCGGUGGCGAAGGCGGAUCUCUGGGCCAUUACUGACGCUGAGGAGCGAAAGCGUGGGGAGCGAACAGG